AUUGAACGCUGGCGGCAGGCCUAACACAUGCAAGUCGAGCGGAUGAAGGGAGCUUUCUCCUGGAUUCAGCGGCGGACGGGUGAGUAAUGCCUAGGAAUCUGCCUGGUAGUGGGGGAUAACGUCCGGAAACGGGCGCUAAUACCGCAUACGUCCUGAUGGAGAACGUGGGGGAUCUUCGGACCUCACGCUAUCAUAUGAGCCUAGGUCGGAUUAGCUAGUUGGUGGGGUAAAGGCCUACCAAGGCGACGAUCCGUAACUGGUCUGAGAGGAUGAUCAGUCACACUGGAACUGAGACACGGUCCAGACUCCUACGGGAGGCAGCAGUGGGGAAUAUUGGACAAUGGGCGAAAGCCUGAUCCAGCCAUGCCGCGUGUGUGAAGAAGGUCUUCGGAUUGUAAAGCACUUUAAGUUGGGAGGAAGGGCAGUAAGUUAAUACCUUGCUGUUUUGACGUUAACAACAGAAUAAGCACCGGCUAACUUCGUG
rnacentral:rRNA from 1 species